rnacentral:rRNA from 1 species
UACAGAGACUGCAAGCGUUAUUCGGAUUUACUGGGCGUAAAGCGCACGUAGGCGGAUUUCUAAGUCAGGGGUGAAAUCCUGGAGCUCAACUCCAGAACUGCCUUUGAUACUGGGAAUCUCGAGUCCGGGAGAGGUGAGUGGAACUGCGAGUGUAGAGGUGAAAUUCGUAGAUAUUCGCAAGAACACCAGUGGCGAAGGCGGCUCACUGGCCCGGUACUGACGCUGAGGUGCGAAAGCGUGGGGAGCAAACAGG